rnacentral:rRNA from 1 species
AUUGAACGCUGGCGGCAGGCCUAACACAUGCAAGUCGAGCGGAGCGGCGGACGGGUGAGUAAUGCCUAGGAAUCUGCCUGGUAGUGGGGGAUAACGUACGGAAACGGGCGAUAAUACCGCAUACUAUCAGAUGAGCCGCGGGCGGAUUAGCUAGUUGGGGGGGUAAAGGCCUACCAAGGCGACGAUCCGUAACUGGUCUGAGAGGAUGAUGAGUCACACGUGAACUGAGACACUGUCCAUACUCCUCCGGGAGGCAGCAGUUGGGAAUAUUGGACAAUGGGCGAAAGCCUGAUCCAGCCAUGCCGCGUGUGUGAAGAAGGUCUUCGUAUUGUAAAGCACUUUAAGUUGGGAGGCGUUACCAACAGAAUAAGCACCGGCUAACUUCGUGCCAGCCGCCGCGGUAAUUC